UACGUAGGGUGCAAGCGUUGUUCGGAAUUACUGGGCGUAAAGAGCUCGUAGGUGGUUUGUCGCGUUGUUCGUGAAAACUCACAACUCAAUUGUGGGCGUGCGGGCGAUACGGGCAGACUGGAGUACUGCAGGGGGAGACUGGAAUUCCUGGUGUAGCGGUGGAAUGCGCAGAUAUCAGGAGGAACACCAAUGGCGAAGGCAGCACUCUGGGACGUGACUGACGCUGAGACGCGAAAGCGUGGGGAGCAAACAGG
rnacentral:rRNA from 1 species